AAAUGAUUAUUUGGUAUUACAAAAUAAAUUUUUAAAUGAGAAAUUUUCCAACGAGUGAUUAUUUACAGAAACUUUAUUUACAGAAUAAAUAUUAUUGGAAAAAAGGAUUAGUUUAUCUGAUCUAUUCUAUGACACCGCAUCAACGGCUCCUUUUAUUUAUAACGUUUAUAAAUAGAUAUCAAACAAUUCAACGGACAUAUAAACAUCGUAUAUACUUUAUGUAAUAACGUAUCUACGUUACAUUUUUUUUCAACAUUCAAACUUCUGGUACGAGUCGGUUGAAUUUGUUAUUCAGAGCAGAAAGCGAGAUAAACGGAAUAAAUAUUGUUGUAUCGCAUAACGAAAAUUUACAUUCGCUUAAAAAACGGGGAAAAAAAAAAGUGUGUCGACCGAUUCUUGAUAUUUCUUUCUUAAUAAUUAUGCGAAAUCGCGACUAAUCUAUUCGUUCAUAUUGCUUGUUUCAAAAUACGAUAAGCUGAAUCGGGAUACUCGGAUAAUCGUAUAUAAGAGCUCGAUAAGAGGACGAGAAAUUGUGGGAGGAAAAAAAAAAAAAUAUGUUUUAACGCAUCAAAUCAAAACGACGUCUUAUCACAUAUUUGAAUUCACCGCGUAAUGAAUUCAAAUGCAAAUGAAAACGGUUGAAAACAAAUUCUUCUGUAUCAUAAUAAUUUUAUUUAAUUCUUUAUAUACAUAAAUGACGAGAACUUGGCGAAUACGGUUGUUGGCUGGAAAUCCAUAAGACAAAUCCUUUGGUCCGCUAAACUGGAUAAUCUGUUUUCCUUGAACGCUUCUUAACUAUUUCAUCCCCGUAAUGACCAUGAUUGUUUCCAUUCAUAGAUGAACUCGAGUUAGUUCGUUUCACGAAUUCAUCACCCCUUUCCCCUUUCAAACAACAAAGCAACAUUUUUCUCGACCGAGUUCAUCGAAUAUUAGAAAAAAAAAAAAAGAAGAAUAUUUUAAGUUCGAAAUUUAAACUUGAAAAUUUGCGAAAGAUUGUAAAUCGUGGAACGUUUCGAAAGAAAAAUAUUGUUUUCCACGAAGCGAAUUUACAAUUUGAGAGAUGGACGCUUAGAUCAGGAAAUGAGACGAUUGCUGGUCCCAGAUUCAGACUUUCGUGCGCGUUCUUUGCACCAGCGACAAUGCAAGAUUCAUCGAAUUUUGCGGCAAAGUGUCCCAUUGUCUCACGAUUCAUCAAAUGAAACCUUAAACGGCCGCAUUACGAGCGUCAACUUAAUCCUCAAUGACACACCGGCGCAGAGGAGAAGAAGCCCCGAUCGUGGAAACGAAAGCAAUUUGUUAAAUAUUGCUUCCGACGAUGACAAACGACACGGAUACGGGAUCCAGGAUUUCGUCGAUUCAAGGAGCGGGGAAAAUACUUAAAUUUCGCCAAAUGCAAUUUUGAAAUAUAACAAUGAUAACAAUUCUCUCUUUAUUCGUUCGUUCAUCUUUGGACAGAUAAGAUGAAAUAAAACUACAAAGAAAAAAAUAUAUGUACACGUAUACUCGACAGUGAUUAUAUUAAAAGAUAUUUUAAAG